UACGUAGGGUGCUAGCGUUGUUCGGAAUCACUGGGCGUAAAGGGCGUGUAGGCGGUCUGUUAAGUCUGAUGUGAAAUCCCCUCGCUCAACGAGGGAACUGCGUCGGAUACUGGCAGACUCGAGUACCGGAGAGGAAGGUGGAAUUCCCGGUGUAGCGGUGAAAUGCGUAGAUAUCAGGAGGAACACCGGUGGCGAAGGCGGGUCUCUGGGCCGACACUGACACUGAGGAGCGAAAGCGUGGGGAGCGAACAGG
rnacentral:rRNA from 1 species